UAUUUUGAAAGGUUUCCUGUCUUGUCAUGUUUUUUGAGUUUUACUUCCUUUGUCCCAAUCUGUCCUGAUCAGGUUCUUGUCUCCCCUGCCUGUAUUUAAGUCUCGUCUCUCCCUUCCUCUUGGGCUGGUCCAUUAGCUUUUGUCAUGGUGUUCACGUCUUCAUGUCUUAGCGUCCUCGUUCCAUGUCCCUCGCCAAGCCACAAGACACGGAAGUUACCGCUGAAAGUGAUAUGGUGCCGCUGUCAGACUCCUCCCCCUCUCCCCUCCACUUGGCUGCUUCUCCAUCCCAGCUGCUGCCACUUACUUCAUCACCUCUUCUGCCUUCAUAAGGAGCCUCUGGAUCACCAGUCUUCGCCAGUCCGUUGCCCCUGAUGGAAUCCUUUGUCACAAGUGGUCGCCUGCAUCAACUUCUGUCUGGAACCUUCCCUCCGUUCGCUCCCGCUGGUCCCACCUCGAGCCUCUGCCGUCUUCUGCCAUCUCUCGGACCCCCUCCGACGUCAACUCCUUCCGACUGUCUGCAGAAAGAUCCAACAGUGACGCCACUCGAGUUCGAUCUUCACUCUCUGGGAACCCUAGAUCCUGCCCACGGCUUUCUGUCUGUUCUCUAUUAAAACCUCUUACCUGCCA